rnacentral:rRNA from 1 species
UACAGAGGUCUCAAGCGUUGUUCGGAUUCAUUGGGCGUAAAGGGUGCGUAGGCGGCGCGGUAAGUCGGGUGUGAAAUCUCGGAGCUUAACUCCGAAACUGCAUUCGAUACUGCCGUGCUUGAGGACUGGAGAGGAGGGUGGAAUUCCCGGUGUAGCGGUGAAAUGCGCAGAUAUCGGGAGGAACACCGGUGGCGAAGGCGGUCUCUGGGCCUUACCUGACGCUGAGGAGCGAAAGCGUGGGAGCGAACAGGAUU